GCAGCGUAAAAAAAAACACGCAAACGACGAGCUCUGGCGCCGCCGAUUCCCUCAAUGUGGCGAUCGAUCGGUGGCUUCCUCCGCCUCUUCGUUGCCGGCGAAUCCGACGAAGAAACGCGGCGCACCGCGACCAUGCAGCCACCGCCCGAGCUCUCGCCGCCGGCACCAGCCCUUAGAGAAGUGGCGGUCGCAGACGCAUAGCGGCCAUCUAAGAAAAUCUGCCACUGCUUGGUCUCUACCUCAGCCUCAUCUGAACAACAUGUUUGGGCAGACCUACCGGACAGCCUGCUUCACUUAAUCAUUGCUCUCUUAAGCUCAUUCCAUGACUUCCUUGCUUUUAGUGGCGCCUGUCACUCUUGGCGCGCUGCGGUCUUUUCCUUUCCAUCAUCCAUAUAUGCCUUUGUCUUUCCACCUCUCCAUCUCAAAGCAGGUUUGCGUAAGGCUAACCGGGAUUGCGGCACAUGGUACAAGCUUUUAUUGAACUACAAAUGGUGUCUUUGUGAUCCUAUGAGGACAGACUUAUCUCUGCUCCGGUCAGCUCCCCGUAAUGCUCCAAAUUACAUGCGCCAUUUGGGCUGCUCAUAUGGGCAUCUUAUCUUCUCAUGUAUGGAGCACCUCCUCCUUGUCGAUGUUUACACAGGCACUAAGGUGAAGCCACCCAAACUCCAAGCCAACAGCGAUUGUGUGGUCUAUGGUGGCAUUCUUAUAGCUCCACUCAGUUCACCGAACUCAUGUCUCCUCCUUUUCUCGAAAUCAUUCAUUUUCCAGUGGCAGGUUGGAACGGAUUCCUGAACAGAGCACCCUCUUGUUUCUGAACACUUCCUUAGUCAGAUUGUUUUGUUCAAAGGUCAGAUGUUUGCCAUAGACUUUCCCCGGAUGCUCAAAACCAUAUCCUUGGCACCUCAGCUCAGCGUGCAGGAAGUCGAUGUUGUGUAGGGAGAGGACAUCGUUGCUGGCUUGAAUUAUGAUCCAUGGUUGGUGGUCUGUGGUGACAUGCUUCUCAUGGUUGAUCUCGUUGAUGGCUUGAUAAGCAAUGGCACCUUUCAAGUCUUCCGCUUUGAUUUUUCAGCCGAACGAGCUAAGUGGACCAAGAUGGAGAAGUUGGACAACUGGGCUCUCUUUGUCAGCCAUGAUAGGAUGAGCCCUACAUUUUCUUGCAUGAACCCUGAAAGAUGGGGUGGAAAGAGUAACUGCAUUUACCUUCCAAGUGCGUCCAAAGACUCUGAUGAACCUUGGAUUGCUGUAGAGCUUGGUCAGGCAGUUUACAGCACAACUCCUCCAAUUCAUACAUCCUAGGAGGCAGAAGCAAUCAGCUUGAGAGCCUCUGGGUGCUCCCCAGCUUAGUCUAUGGUGCUGGCCAGUGAACGAUCAUGUUUGCUUGUUGCAUGUUUUUUGUUCUUGCGUAUUAUUAUAUUGAGCUCCAGCCAGUGAUGUAGUUAGCAAGAAAGUACUUUAUGGAUGAUUAUUCAUGUCUCUCCUUAGCUUUAGUGAAGAGCAUAGUUCAGAAAAACAAUGCUCCUGAAAUUGCACCUACUGUUAGCAUGCAUUCCUGAAUGCAAUCUACUACUGAUUAGUAGUCCUCUUAGAUUGCUUGUUAUUGUUGAGAAAUAGAACACGCAGUUCUACAUUCAUGUCGUGACAAGGUAAUGCAAAUUUGCAGCAUUGUUUCUUUUGAUCUGCAGGCAAGAGUUUGACGAAACUUGCCUAAGAAUAUUAGGCUGGUAUUUUCCCCCAAACCUUUAGAGUGAUGUUUUUAAUCUUUGUCAUUACGGAUGAAAGAGAUGUUUGUAUAUAAUUUAACUCACAAGUAAAGCUCACACAAGAUGAAUCUUACUAGCUAGUCUACUGCUGUAUUGUACAGAAAAUCAAGGUUUUAGUUUUGAAGUAGCUUACUGCGAUUGAAAUGUACUCCCUCCGUAAACUAAUAUAAGAGCGUUUGGAAUACUAAAGUAGUGAUCUAAACGCUCUUAUACUAUUAGUUUACAGAGGGAGUACCAUCCUUUUUUCCCCCUUGCUACUACGAGCUCAGCAGGGUGUCAUUUUGUUAAGAAGAAAGAUCUCUCGAAACACGCUCUCGCUUUGCUUUAUAGGUAACACACAAACCAACGUGCACGGCGGAACAAUACAAUCUGUGCAGACUUCCCUUCACACACUCUAGAUGAAGACGUAUAAAGCAGAAGCCGUCAUGUGCAUGCAUAGUGUUGGAUCAAACGUAUAAAGCAGAAGCCGUCAUGUGCCAGGAGAAGUUGCUGAAGAUCCCAAGCCUUGUCAUUCUAGACGAAGGCUGCACUCCGAGAAAUGAGCAAACUGACUUACUCGCUGCACUUGGAAGUAUACGAACUCCUAGAAAAGUGGUGCUCUCAGGAACCUUGUUCCAGAAUCAUGUAAAGGAGGUCUUCAACAUCUUGAACCUUGUCCGGCCAAGAUUCUUGAAAAUGGAGGGAUCCCGGGCGAUAGUGAAGCGCGUAUUAAGCAAGGUGGACAUAUAGGGAAAAAUGCAAGGUCAAAGAACAUUUCAGUUAAGUUCUGUGAUUUGGUAGAAGAAAACCUUCAAAAGGACACAAAUGAUAAAAUGAGAGUGAUGAUCAUCCAGAGUCUGCGCGAGCUAACUGCAAAUGUGCUCCACUAUUAUCAAGGCGAGCUUUCGGAGGAGCUACCAGGACUUUUGGACUUGACCGUGUUCUGAAAAUGAGUACCGAGCAGGAAGAGAUCCUGAGGGGUUUGGUGGGACUGGGGAAAUUCAGCACAACACGGCCUUCCGAGAGGAAUGGGUGUCCAAGAUGUGGUUCGAAUCGAACAAUCUCUGUGGCAACAAUGAUUUUGAGCUUGAUGUGGAUGUUUCAGAGAGCGGGGAUAGGUUUCUCGAAAACGAGGCGCUGUGACAAGAUAUCAAAUCUCUAUACAAAAGGAGGUUGAAUGCAUCAAUGAGGGUCGUUUUCUUUGAAGGUGAACGGCCGUGGCAAGCGCGAACAAACCAGUGAGAGAGAAAGAACCCGGGAAGGAACCGAAGUGGACUUUUCUGUGCUUCUUUGCGGUGUUGUGCUGAUCGUCUUAAUCGUGUUAGUAUGA